UUUCUCUACGUGAACAUGCGGAAGGAUCAUUACAGAGGCCACCCCAAAAAGGGUAGACCUCCCACCCAAGUGUAUUAUUACUUUGUAGCUUAGGCGAGACGCCUUCGGGCCUAGUAUACUCGCCAGAGAAUACCAAAACUCUUUUUAUUAAUGUAGUCCGAGCAAUAUAUAAUAGAAAAACAUUCAACAACGGAUCUCUUGGUUCUGGCAUCGAUGAAGAACGCAACGAAACCCGAAAAGUAAUGGGAAGUGCAGAAUUCAGUGAAUCAUCGAAUCUCUGAACGCACAGCAAGCCCCAUGGUAUUCCGGGGGGCAUGCCUGUCCGAGCGUCAUUUCAACCCACAAGCUUAGCUUGGGAAAGGUCUAUGUCAGUAAUGGCAGGCUCAAAAAACAAAGGAAGAGCCGCUGGGUCCUGAACGUAGUAAUUCUAGCCCUACAGGAGCUGGUGUGCUUCUACAAAAACCCAAACACAAGGGGUGACCUCGAUCAGGCACCCAAACCCGCUAAACUUAAGCAUAUCAAUAAGCGGAGGAA
rnacentral:rRNA from 1 species